rnacentral:rRNA from 1 species
GAGUUUGAUCCUGGCUCAGAUUGAACGCUGGCGGCGUGCUUAACACAUGCAAGUCGAGCGGUAACAGGCGUAGCAAUACGUGCUGACGAGCGGCGAACGGGUGAGUAAUGCUUCGGAAUCUGCCUAGUAGUGGGGAAUAACCAGUCGAAAGACUGGCUAAUGCCGCAUACGUCCCUUGACCGUAUUGGUCAUUGGAGAAAGCGGGGGAUCGCAAGACCUCGCGCUAAUAGAUGAGCCGAAGUCGGAUUAGCUAGUUGGUGAGGUAACGGCUCACCAAGGCGACAAUCCGUAGCUGGUCUGAGAGGACGACCAGCCACACUGGGACUGAGACACGGCCCAGACUCCUACGGGAGGCAGCAGUGGGGAAUAUUGGACAAUGGGGGCAACCCUGAUCCAGCGACGCCGCGUGUGUGAAGAAGGCCUGCGGGUUGUAAAGCACUUUUAGUGGGGACAAAAAGCUACGGGCUAAUACCUUGUAGUCUUGAUUUAACCCAAAGAAAAAGCACCGGCUAACUCUGUGCCAGCAGCCGCGGUAAUACAGAGGGUGCGAGCGUUAAUCGGAAUUACUGGGCGUAAAGCGUGCGUAGACGGUUUCGUAAGUCGGGUGUGAAAUCCCCGGGCUCAACCUGGGAAUUGCAUUCGAAACUGCGAGGCUAGGGUACGGAAGAGGAGAGUGGAAUUCCUGGUGUAGCGGUGGAAUGCGCAGAUAUCAGGAGGAACAUCCGUGGCGAAGGCGGCUCUCUGGGACGGUACUGACGCUGAGACGCGAAAGCGUGGGGAGCGAACAGGAUUAGAUACCCUGGUAGUCCACGCCGUAAACGAUGGGCGCUAGGUGUGGGAGGUGUCGAUUCCUUCCGUGCCGAAGCUAACGCAUUAAGCGCCCCGCCUGGGGAGUACGGUCGCAAGACUAAAACUCAAAGGAAUUGACGGGGGCCCGCACAAGCAGCGGAGCAUGUUGUUUAAUUCGAUGCGACGCGAAGAACCUUACCUAGGCUUGACAUGUUGUGGAAAACCGUGGAAACACGGUCCCUCUUCGGAGCCGCAUCACAGGUGGUGCAUGGCUGUCGUCAGCUCGUGUCGUGAGAUGUUGGGUUAAGUCCCGCAACGAGCGCAACCCUUAUCGUUAGUUGCCAGCGAGUCAAGUCGGGCACUCUAGCGAAACCGCCCCGGAUAACGGGGAGGAAGGUGGGAUGACGUCAAGUCCUCAUGGCCUUUAUGUCCAGGGCUACACACGUGCUACAAUGGUCGGUACAAACCGUCGCAAACCUGCGAAGGGGAGCUAAUCGGAAAAAGCCGGCCUCAGUUCGGAUUGGAGUCUGCAACUCGACUCCAUGAAGCUGGAAUCGCUAGUAAUCGCGGAUCAGCACGCCGCGGUGAAUACGUUCCCGGGCAUUGCACACAC